rnacentral:rRNA from 1 species
GAUGAACGCUGGCGGCGUGCUUAACACAUGCAAGUCGAACGAUGAAGCCCAGCUUGCUGGGUGGCUUAGUGGCGAACGGGUGAGUAACACGUGAGUAACCUGCCCUUGACUCUAGGAUAAGCCCGGGAAACUGGGUCUAAUACUGGAUAGGAACGUCUACCGCAUGGUGGGUGUUGGAAAGAAUUUCGGUCAUGGAUGGACUCGCGGCCUAUCAGCUUGUUGGUGAGGUAAUGGCUCACCAAGGCGACGACGGGUAGCCGGCCUGAGAGGGUGACCGGCCACACGGGGACGGGGACCCGGCCCAGACCCCUGCGGGGGGGAGGGGGGGGGAAUAUUGCACAAGGGGGGAAGGCCGGGUGCAGGGACGCCGGGGGGGGGAGGACGGCCUUGGGGUGGAAACCCUUUUUCAGGGGGGAAGAAGGGAAAGGGAGGGUACCGGCAAAAGAAGCACCGGCUAACUACGU